UACGUAGGGUGCAAGCGUUGUCCGGAAUUAUUGGGCGUAAAGAGCUCGUAGGCGGUUUGUCGCGUCUGCUGUGAAAACUCGGGGCUUAACUCCGGGCCUGCAGUGGGUACGGGCAGACUAGAGUGCGGUAGGGGAGACUGGAAUUCCUGGUGUAGCGGUGAAAUGCGCAGAUAUCAGGAGGAACACCGGUGGCGAAGGCGGGUCUCUGGGACGGUACUGACGCUGAGGCGCGAAAGCGUGGGGAGCAAACAGG
rnacentral:rRNA from 1 species